AAUUCUCAACCAUGUCUUGUAAUGAGGCUUGGCUUGGACUUUGGGGGUUGCUGGCGGCCCAGGUCCGUCGGCUCUCCUGAAACAUAUUAGCAAAAGGGCAGCAAGUCUCUGACGUGGGCACGGCCUUUUCGACGUGAUAACGAUCGUCGUGGGGCUGGAAGCGCCGGACAUGCAUCAAUUGUCUUGUUUGCUUCGAAUUCCCCUCCAUCGGACUUCGGGACUUGAGCGUGGGGUUAGCUUUAGCUACUAGUCGGCCGUGAGAGGCUGACGAACGCGGGCCGGCUUUGCUUCGAGCAUCCGUGGUUCCUUGGUUCUCGAAA
rnacentral:misc_RNA from 1 species